GGUACUUUCCUGUUUCUCCCCAGAGCUGUGGUUCUGUGGUUUUCUAAGCAACCACUGAAGCCUGCUGCUUCAAGAAGUGGGUGUUGCAAAGAAAGCAAUAUACAUUCCAGAUGAGCAUGGCGUGACAAAUCUACCUGUAGAAUUUCUCUACCCAAAUGUGAAAAAUUAAAAGCUAUAAAAGCCUCCAGUGCCCCAGUGAAAUCUAUUAUUCUAUCUGUCUGUCUGUCUGUCUGUCUGUCUGUCUGUCUGUCUGUCUAUCUAUCUAUCUAUCUAUCUAUCUAUCUAUCUAUCUAUCCAUCCCAUCUACUCAUCCAUCCCUUUCUUUCCCUGUCUCCCUCCUAUCUAUCUUCUAUCUAUCCAUCCUAUCUAUCUAUCUAUCUAUCUAUCUAUCUAUCUAUCUAUCUAUCUCUAUCUAUUCCAUCCAUCCAUCCAUCCAUCCAUCUUCUUAUUUCUACUUUACAUUCAACUACAUAUGACCAAGGAAAGGUACAGAAGAUUCUUGCCUGAGACUGGACAAAGCUUUGGGUAAUGUCACUUCUAGAAACACAACACUCUCAGCAUUCCUUCCAAACCCUCACACUGACAGAGUUCCAAUGGGCAAAUGCCCUCCUCAUUUUGAUGAUGGAGCUGAAAAUUCCACUUUCAGGCAGCACAUGACACCAGAGACCUUAGCAUGUGGGCUGGCUCCCCUGCACACAAGCAAAGGCCUUGGUGAGUUGUACUUCAGGGGAAGUAGGCCCUGAGAUGUCCCUUGUGGAGACAGAAGGCAUCAUCUGCUGGUUUAGAGCUUUCACCAAAUCUGAAAACUCUGAGAGAGCUCUCAAAGGGGAACACUUUAAACAGAAGCCGUAUGUACUUGGCCUCACCUGAACUCCCCCAACACCAUCCUUGGCAUUCUUUCAGGAUUUAAAAAACUUAUAGUUCUCAUAGGAAAAGUCUCAGGUACAAUGGGAAGAAUGUUGAAAUGUCAGUCAAGCCUCAUUAGACCAAGUAGAAUGAGCAGGAUGAAAAGAAAUGCCAUGGUUACAGGGAAAAUAUUUUUUUGGCAAGAAGGGAAGUAAGACAAACCAGAAAGUCCAUCCUAGGGGAAAAAGAAACUUAAUUCCAGGAAGAGGAGCAAUGAAGCAUAAUUACUUCAUGACAUGGGGUAAAAUUUUUUUUUCAAGUUUUAGCUAUUUUAGUUUUUAGAAUAUGCAAGCAGUCAGAUUUUGAAGCUAUUCAAAGACAAUAC
rnacentral:lncRNA from 1 species